rnacentral:rRNA from 1 species
GACGAACGCUGGCGGCGUGCCUAAUACAUGCAAGUAGAACGCACAGUUUAUACCGUAGCUUGCUACACCAUAAACUGUGAGUUGCGAACGGGUGAGUAACGCGUAGGUAACCUGCCUGGUAGCGGGGGAUAACUAUUGGAAACGAUAGCUAAUACCGCAUAAUAUUAAUUAUUGCAUGAUAAUUGAUUGAAAGAUGCAAUUGCAUCACUACCAGAUGGACAUGCGUUGUAUUAGCUAGUAGGUGAGGUAACGGCUCACCUAGGCGACGAUACAUAGCCGACCUGAGAGGGUGAUCGGCCACACUGGGACUGAGACACGGCCCAGACUCCUACGGGAGGCAGCAGUAGGGAAUCUUCGGCAAUGGACGAAAGUCUGACCGAGCAACGCCGCGGGAGUGAAGAAGGGUUUCGGAUCGUAAAGCUCUGUUGUAAGAGAAGAACGGGUGUGAGAGUGGAAAGUUCACACUGUGACGGUAGCUUACCAGAAAGGGACGGCUAACUACGUG